rnacentral:lncRNA from 1 species
UUCUCGAUGACGCUGUAGCUCUCCACGUAAUCGACGUGUUCGUCCUGCGGCUCGCUGGCGAUCUGCCGCAGCGUGGCCUUGUCCACGCUGCCCACUCCGAUGGCGAACAGCUCGACGCCGCUGGCCCGGGCCCGCGCAGACACGUCCUGCACGCUGUCCUGGGGCCUCCCGUCUGUCACCACGAUGACCACCUGCGACACGCGGGGCGGUGUGACACCGGGCUCCCGGAAGCCCACGGGACUGUCCAGGAGAGGAGGCUGAGGCCCGGAGAGGCGGGAGGACUGCCGGGUCGCACAGCCAGGCGGCACCCGGGGGAAGAGGACCCGGCUGGCCGAAGAGGAGACCCGUUUCCUCUGACUGAGAGACGUGGCUGGGGGGCUUUCCAUCUGCUUCGCCUCCCUCGGGCAGGCAGCUCUGAGAUGCCCGGAGGGAUGUGAUGCCCCAUCGCCAAAUUGGGGUCUCUAAGCUAUGAAAUGGCCACCUCACGGGGCAUCAUGGGAAUCAAAGUGUCUGCAGGCAAAGCUCAUAACUCCGAGCGGGAGCCUCCAAACAGCAGCAUCCUAGCAGGGUGGCGUGCACGUACCUUGCUGAUGUCAGGGGACCUGGAACGACCACCCUCUGCAUCGCCGAAGGCUUUGGUGAUAGCGAACUGGAUGGCCAGGCCGGUCAUGGUGCCUGUGGACAGCGGCUGGAUACGGCGCACAGCCUGCAGCAGUGCGGCCUUGGAGACAUGAGCCCGCAGCGAGAACUCCUGCUUCACGGUGCUGGCAUAGUUGACCAUGCCCACCCGGGUGGCAUUGGGCCCCACGUCCAGCGACUCGAUGACCUGGGACAGGAAUACCUUCACUUUCUCAAAUUCAACAGGCCGAACGCUGCGAGAGCUGUCGACAACAAACACCAGGGUCACACAAGGGCCAUCCACGGUGACCAGCGGUGAGAAACGCAAUGCUGUCCUCGUGCCAUGCUGGAGGUGAACGAGGAGAACGUGAGCUGGGGUCUCCUCACCAACUGCUCCCCCCACCCCAACCCCCCUGACGGCCAGGGCUGUGUCCAGGGCUCAGGGCACAAGGCUCCGUUAGCUGGGCAGCAGCUGGCCCAUGAAACAGCCCUUUCAGCUCCACCUCUGAAUGGCAGUUCUAUGGGCUCCUCGGAAGAACACAGGCGCCUUCUCUGUGUCACUUCUCCGCUCAUUAGCAGAGCUGCAGAAAUACACUACAGGACUCAAAAUUGAGAACAGUGUGUCCGGUAUGAGCCAGAAGGAAAAAAAAAUGCACGAAGGGGCCUUCUGCAAGGUUGCUCACAAGUCAAACAGGCAGCUGUGAAGGGCUCUGCUGUUCCCUCCUCCUGUUUUCACAUCCCUCGGGCUUCCAGAAACUUAAAGCCGUUAGUGUUUCAUGCAAGAGAGAGCAUCUGUGAUCCACGGAGAGGCCCCUGGGCAGUGUGGUUCAGUGGGAAGCACACAGGACUCCCUCCCCAGUGCUCCCAGGAUCAGCUCUUUCCCUAAAGAGCAAACCUGGUUAUCUCGCAAUGACCUAGCUAACACAAAUGCAACAUCAGCCGGGGCAGCCUGCCCCCUUCACUCUUUGCCCACCAUCAGCUGUUUGGCAGUAUCCAUAUACGCCUUUACCAGUAUUUAUUUAAUCUUUUUGUUUAAUUCACUCUAAACCAACUCACUUCUUAAAAAUUUCUCUGCCUUAUAAGAAAUAAUAGCCAUGAAAUCA